GGUUGAGAGGCAAUGCUGCAUAGUGGUUAGAGUGCCAGACUAGGACCUGGAAGAGACCAGGGUUUGAAUCCCUGCUUAACCA